ACUACAACUCAUUGUCGUCCCUGAUGAGUUCCCCAAUGUGUUUGUCUUCACUUUACAUUUCACGGGAAUUGUAAAGAUGAACUCCGAAGUUU